rnacentral:rRNA from 1 species
AUUGAACGCUGGCGGCAUGCUUUACACAUGCAAGUCGAACGGUAACAGGUUAAGCUGACGAGUGGCGAACGGGUGAGUAAUGCAUCGGAACGUGCCCGAUCGUGGGGGAUAACGCAGAGAAAGCUGCGCUAAUACCGCAUACGAUCUGAGGAUGAAAGCGGGGGACCGUAAGGCCUCGCGCGAUCGGAGCGGCCGAUGUCAGAUUAGGUAGUUGGUGGGGUAAAGGCUCACCAAGCCGACGAUCUGUAGCUGGUCUGAGAGGACGACCAGCCACACUGGGACUGAGACACGGCCCAGACUCCUACGGGAGGCUGCAGUGGGGAAUUUUGGACAAUGGGCGCAAGCCUGAUCCAGCAAUGCCGCGUGCAGGAAGAAGGCCUUCGGGUUGUAAACUGCUUUUGUACGGAGCGAAAAGGCUCUCUCUAAUACAGGGGGCUCAUGACGGUACCGUAAGAAUAAGCACCGGCUAACUACGUGCCAGCAGCCGCCGUAAAAC